rnacentral:rRNA from 1 species
UACGUAGGGGGCGAGCGUUGUCCGGAUUUAUUGGGCGUAAAGCGCUCGCAGGCGGUCCGAUGCGUCGUGCGUGAAAGCCCCCGGCUCAACUGGGGAGGGUCGUGCGAUACGGUCGGACUUGAGGCCAGUAGGGGGAUGCGGAAUUCCGGGUGUAGUGGUGGAAUGCGUAGAGAUCCGGAGGAACACCAGCGGCGAAGGCGGCAUCCUGGACCGGUAUUGACGCUGAGGCGCGAAAGCUAGGGUAGCAAACGGG